GGCUCCGGCCACAUCAGCCUGAAGGCGCCCGAUCUCGUCUGAUCUCGGAAGCUAAGCAGGGUCGGGCCUGCUUAGUAUAAAAAAAAAAAAAAAAAAAGAACUGGACAUGGAACAA
rnacentral:rRNA from 2 species